rnacentral:rRNA from 1 species
AAUAUCGGCUAACUGGCGAAAGCCUGAUUCAGCUAUGCCGCGUGUGUGAAGAAGGUCUCCGUAUUGUAAAGAACUUUAAGUUGGGAGGAAGGGCAGUAAUUUACUACCUUUCUGUUUUCAUGUUAUCGACAGAAUAAGCACCGGUUAUCUUCGUGCCAGUAGCCGCGGUAAUCCGAAGGGUUCAAGAGUUAAUCGGAAUUACUGGGCGUAAAGCGCGCGUAGGUGGUUGGUUAAGUUGGAAGUGAAAGCCCCGGGCACAACCUGGGAACUGCUUUCAAAAAUGGCAAGCUAGAGUAGAGCAGAGGGUGGUGGAAUUUCCUGUGUAGCGGUGAAAUGCGUAGAUAUUGGAAGGAACACCAGUGGCGAAGGCAACCACCUGGGCUAAUACUGACACUGAGGUGCGAAAGCGUGGGGAGCAAACA